UACGUAGGGCGCAAGCGUUGUCCGGAAUUAUUGGGCGUAAAGAGCUCGUAGGCGGUUUGUCGCGUCUGCUGUGAAAACCUAAGGCUCAACCUUGGGCUUGCAGUGGGUACGGGCAGACUAGAGUGCGGUAGGGGUGACUGGAAUUCCUGGUGUAGCGGUGGAAUGCGCAGAUAUCAGGAGGAACACCGAUGGCGAAGGUAGCUCGCUGGGACGGUACUGACGCUGAGACGCGAAAGCGUGGGGAGCGAACAGG
rnacentral:rRNA from 1 species